rnacentral:rRNA from 1 species
GUCCUGUUGUAUUAUUUAAUAGGUCUGGCCUGCCCAGUGAUAAUUUUAACGGCCGCGGUAUAUUGACCGUGCAAAGGUAGCAUAAUCAUUAGUCUUUUAAUAGAAGGCUGGAAUGAAAGGUUUAACGAGAAAUUUACUGUCUCAAUUACAAACUUGAAUUUAUCUUUUGAGUCAAAAGACUUAAAUAUAAUUGAUGGACGAGAAGACCCUAUAGAGCUUAACAAUUCUUUUUCUAUAUUUAUUUAGUAUAAUUAUUUAUAUAUAUUAGUAGGAUUGUUUUGUUGGGGUGACAAUAAAUAUAUAUUUAACUUUUAUCAUGUUGUGAACAUUAAUUUAUGAUUUUUGGAUCCAAAAAUUUUGAUCAAUAGUUUAAGUUACC